GUGNGGUAAAGGCUCACCAAGCCGACGAUCUGUAGCUGGUCUGAGAGGACGACCAGCCACACUGGGACUGAGACACGGCCCAGACUCCUACGGGAGGCAGCAGUGGGGAAUUUUGGACAAUGGGCGCAAGCCUGAUCCAGCAAUGCCGCGUGCAGGAUGAAGGCCUUCGGGUUGUAAACUGCUUUUGUACGGAACGAAACGGUGAGCUCUAAUACAGUUUGCUAAUGACGGUACCGUAAGAAUAAGCACCGGCUAACUACGUG
rnacentral:rRNA from 1 species